UUAAAAUGCUACAAAGGAAGUAGGUAUAGGGGAGAAUCAUGUCUAUAUUAGCUAUUGGGGUCAAUCGCAAUCCGUCAAAGGCACCAAACCAUACUGAAACGAAUCGGGUAAAGGAAAAAGCGUGGUUGGUGAAAUUCCUGGGAUCCCCACUGCAGGGACUAUUAUUUGUUGUUUUGAUUUACCCACUUUUUCUUUCUUUCAGUUCAAUCACUAUCUUAAUCCUCUCUUACACUCCACGCACAACUACAACUCUUCCAUCAUCACUCAUUUCUAAAUUCGGAUUCGGACCCAAACCCCAACUCAUGGCGAGCACGCUGCGGCUAUACUUGACCUGCAUUCGGAACACGCUAGAGGCCGCAAUGUGUCUCCAGAACUUUCCCUGUCAAGAAGUCGAAAGGCAUAACAAACCCGAGGUUGAGCUCAAGACCAGUCCCGAACUCCUCCUCAAUCCCGUUUUGAUAUGUCGAAAUGAGGCUGAAAAGUGCUUAAUAGAAACAUCAAUCAAUUCAUUGCGGAUAAGUCUCAAGGUUAAGCAGGCAGAUGAACUUGAAAACAUACUGACCAAGAAAUUUCUUAGAUUUUUAUCAAUGAGAGCUGAAGCUUUCCAAGUACUCAGAAGAAAGCCUGUUCAGGGAUAUGACAUUAGCUUCCUUAUAACAAAUUACCACUGUGAGGAUAUGCAAAAGCACAAACUCAUUGAUUUUAUAGUGCAAUUUAUGGAGGACAUCGAUAAAGAGAUAAGUGAGCUCAAAAUGUCAGUGAACACACGGGGGAGGCUUGUUGCUACAGAAUUUUUGAAGCAGUUUAUCUGAUGCUUUUAACUAGCUGGAACUGCCAAAUCCGUGUAAAUUGUACUCUGCAGGUCUAGUUUCACUUCACUUAUCAAGUGCUUUGCCCCAUGAGCCAAUGGUCUGUGGUUUUAUUAUAUUUAACAGAAGUGCAGAAUAAAUUUUGUAGAGCUUAGUACAUUAUAUAAAGAAAAUUAUGACAAACCUCCAUGCCAUUCCGAGUAAUUGAAGGUACUAAAGAUUAUUGGUAUGUUUUGGAAGAGGAGCAAAGUAUCAAGGAGUUGGAACCCAGGAAGGACAACAAAAGAACUAGAAUAGAAGGUUGCAGAAGGCUCAAGGAUGCUUGGUUGCCCUUUUCUAGGGCCCUAGGUGCUGGUUGUCACGCAAGGACGCCUGGUUGCCCUCUUCAGGGGCCCUCAACGCUAGUGGUCGCGCAAGGACGCCUUCUUGCCCUCUUUUGGGGCGCUCAACGGAGAAGGCCACACAACCAUGCCUGGUUGCCCUUCUCUGGGGCGCUGAGCGCCAGUUACACCCACUAUAGGACGCUUGGUUGCCCUCAUCCAGGGCGUUGAGCGCCACUCUUCGCACAGGCUCACCUGGAUGCCCCCAGUUGGGGGCGCUGAGCGCUGACGACCUGGGCCUAUGUGAUACUUUGGAUCUAUUUAAAGGUUUUUGCGCAUUAGGGUUCACAUCUUUGGAUGGCUGAAGCCCAAAACCACUAUUUUUACCCUUUGGAGGAAGAGUGGGCAUGCAGGAGCUUUCCUUUUCUUUUUCUAGGGUUUACAUCUCAUUUACAUUCUUCCAUUGUAAGCGAAGGUUCUCCAUGACAAUGGAGAGCUAAACUCAUUUGUUGUUGGGGAAAGAUGUAACCUCUGAACUUCAUGUAUUUGAACAUGUUUUAAAUAUUUUAUGCUUCUUUCAUUGAAUGUUAGUGAUUUUUUCCUAUUCUUAA